CAUGUGCCACUACACCUGGCUGAUUAAAAAAAUUUUUUUUGUAGAGAUGAGGCCUCACUAUGUUGCCCAGACUGGUCAUUUAACAUUUUUAAGCCUCUUUCAUUAUUUGUAAAAUGAAAGGAUUAUAUUAAAUCCAUAAUAUCUCUUCCAGCACUGAAUCUAGGUUUAAUGUCUUUUCUAUCUUCUGUAUCCUUUCCCCACCAUCCCCUACUAGAAUAAACUCCUGUGAGCAGGAACUUCCUCAUACUAACCUUUGAAUGCCCCCCACAUUUCUAUGCAUUAUAGCUGUAAUAAGUAAUUGAACUGAUUAAAUUGAAUCUGCAUUCAGAGGUAAACUUGUGGUUAUAUCCUACUUGCUACUUAUUUUGAAU
rnacentral:lncRNA from 10 species